AAAUUGAAGAGUUUGAUCAUGGCUCAGAUUGAACGCUGGCGGCAGGCCUAACACAUGCAAGUCGAACGGUAACAGGAAACAGCUUGCUGUUUCGCUGACGAGUGGCGGACGGGUGAGUAAUGUCUGGGAAACUGCCUGAUGGAGGGGGAUAACUACUGGAAACGGUAGCUAAUACCGCAUAACGUCGCAAGACCAAAGAGGGGGACCUUCGGGCCUCUUGCCAUCGGAUGUGCCCAGAUGGGAUUAGCUUGUUGGUGGGGUAACGGCUCACCAAGGCGACGAUCCCUAGCUGGUCUGAGAGG
rnacentral:rRNA from 1 species